UGNGCUGCCUCAAGUUAGAUUUGCUGAUUGU
rnacentral:piRNA from 1 species